UAUUGCACAAUGGGGGAAACCCUGAUGCAGCGACGCCGCGUGAGUGAAGAAGUAUUUCGGUGUGUAAAGCUCUAUCAGCAGGGAAGAAAAUGACGGUACCUGACUAAGAAGCCCCGGCUAACUACGUGCCAGCAGCCGCGGUAAUACGUAGGGGGCAAGCGUUAUCCGGAUUUACUGGGGGUAAAGGGAGCGCAGACGGCCAGACAAGUCAGAAGUGAAAGCCCGGGGCUCAACUCCGGGACUGCUUUUGAAACUGCCAGGCUGGAAUGCAGGAGAGGUAAGCGGAAUUCCUAGUGUAGCGGUGAAAUGCGUAGAUAUUAGGAGGAGCACCAGUGGCGAAGGCGGCUUACUGGACUGUAACUGACGUUGAGGCUCGAAAGCGUGGGGAGCAAACAGG
rnacentral:rRNA from 1 species